rnacentral:rRNA from 1 species
UACGAAGGGGGCUAGCGUUGCUCGGAAUCACUGGGCGUAAAGGGUGCGUAGGCGGAUCUUUAAGUCAGGGGUGAAAUCCUGGAGCUCAACUCCAGAACUGCCUUUGAUACUGAGGAUCUCGAGUUCGGGAGAGGUGAGUGGAACUGCGAGUGUAGAGGUGAAAUUCGUAGAUAUUCGCAAGAACACCAGUGGCGAAGGCGGCUCACUGGCCCGAUACUGACGCUGAGGUGCGAAAGCGUGGGGAGCAAACAGG